UGUCUUUAUGGCAAAUGUGAGAUGCAGUGUAUGGAAUGUCAAAUUUCUAGUAUGAGAAAUUAACGAUUUAAGUCCUUCUUAAAUGAGGCCAUUUACCCAAAGAGGGUGCCAGGCCCGUAUAACGUUAAUGAUUACUAGAUGACAUUUCCAAAGAGUCGUGUUGCUUGAUAGUGCAGCACUAAGUGGGUGGUAAACUCCAUCUAAAACUAAAUAUAACCAUGAGACCGAUAGUAAACAAGUACCGUGAGGGAAAGUUGAAAAGAACUCUGAAUAGAGAGUUAAAUAGUACGUGAAACUGCUUAGAGGUUAAGCCCGAUGAACCUGAAUAUCCAUUAUGGAAAAUUCAUCAUUAUGAUUUUAAUAUUAAUAAUAUUAUAAUAAUGGUGUGCAUUUUUUCCAUAUAAGGACAUUGUAAUCUAUUAACAAACAUAUUUAUUAAAAGAUCAUUGCUUUAGUUUAUUCAAAUUAUUUCGCUUGCGUUUUAACAUAGAAUAAAUGCUGAUGAUUUGAUAAAGUGUUGAUAGAUUNAUUAUAUAUAGUGCUUGAAUAUAUUUAUAUAUUCUAUAAUAGCGUAUUGAUCAAUGAUUUUUAUGUUCAUUAUAUGCACUUAUAUGAUUAACAAUGCGAAAGAUUCAGGAUACCUUCGGGACCCGUCUUGAAACACGGACCAAGGAGUCUAACAUAUUUGCAAGUUAUUGGGAAUUAAAAACCUAAUAGCGAAAUUAACAUAACUUAUAUAAUGGGAUUAGUUUUUAGGUCUAUUUAUAGUCUAUUAAUUCAAUCCCGGGGCGUUCUAUACAGUUAUGUAUAAUAGUAUUUAUAUUAUUUAUACCUCUAACUAGAGCGUACCUUGAGCAUAUAUGCUGUGACCCGAAAGAUGGUGAACUAUACUUGAUCAGGUUGAAGUCAGGGGAAACCCUGAUGGAAGACCGAAACAGUUCUGACGUGCAAAUCGAUUGUCAGAAUUGAGU
rnacentral:rRNA from 1 species